rnacentral:tRNA from 1 species
AAAGAAUUAGUUUAUACAAAACAUUAGUCUUCAAAACUAAAAAUAUUAAAGUCUUAGUAUUCUUUG